GACGAACGCUGGCGGCGUGCUUAACACAUGCAAGUCGAACGGAAAGGCGCUGCUUUUGUGGGGUGCUCGAGUGGCGAACGGGGGAGUAACACGUGAGUAACCUGCCCUUGACUUUGGGAUAACUUCAGGAAACUGGGGCUAAUACCGGAUAGGAGCUCCUGCUGCAUGGGGGGGGUUGGAAAGUGUCGGCGGUUGGGGAUGGACUCGCGGCUUAUCAGCUUGUUGGUGGGGUAGUGGCGUACCAAGGCUUUGACGGGUAGCCGGCCUGAGAGGGUGACCGGCCACAUUGGGACUGAGAUACGGACCAGACUCCUACGGGAGGCAGCAGUGGGGAAUAUUGCACAAUGGGCGGAAGCCUGAUGCAGCAACGCCGCGUGCGUGAUGACGGCCUUCGGGUUAUAAACCGCUUUCGCCUGUGACGAAGCGUGAGUGACGGUAAUGGGUAAAGAAGCACCGGCUAACUACGUG
rnacentral:rRNA from 1 species